CAGGGGUCUCGAGCGUUAAUCGGAAUCACUGGGCUUAAAGGGUGCGUAGGCGGACCCGAACGCGUCCCGUGAAAUCCCCCGGCUCAACCGGGGAACUGCGGGGCGAACGGUGGGUCUCGAGGCAGGUAGGGGUCGCCGGAACCGUAGGUGGAGCGGUGAAAUGCGUAGAUAUCUACGGGAACGCCGAUGGUGAAGACGGGCGACUGGGCCUGUCCUGACGCUGAGGCACGAAAGCGUGGGGAGCAAACAGGAUUAGAUACCCUGGUAGUCCACGCCGUAAACGAUGCGCACUAGAUCGGUGCGGCUCUGACGCCGUAUCGGUCGGAGUAAAAACGAUAAGUGCGCCGCCUGGGGAGUACGGUCGCAAGGCUA
rnacentral:rRNA from 1 species